CCACAGCAGGCCUACAUCAGCGGCCUCCGGGAGCUAGCACAGGGAGAGGGAAUGCUGGAGGCCUUGGCCCCUGCUGCAGAGAGCGAGCCCACGCAGCUCCAGCGGCCUGGGGCGCAGGUCACCCAGAGGCCGCCGCCCAUGUGGGGUCCUGGAGGUCUUCUGGCCUCCAUGCCCUCCACGGCGGCCCUCUUCCACAGUCCCCCGCAUCCAGGGAAACAGUACUUCCUCUGUCAUCCACCAGGUCUUAAUGCAGAGGGGAAGCUGAGGAAACCAGGCCGCCUGGAAGGAAGCCCUGAGCAGCCAUCAUCUGGGGUCCUGUCAGGAAGUCGGCUCUGCAGACAGGAAGGCAGCUGCCACCCAGCUACAGCCAGGCCACAGCUGGGGUCUGGGCAUGUUGAGAGGCCCAGGUGCUGUGGGCAUCCCCAGCCCCCGCGGUUUCCUCCUGCACAGGAGGCUGCUUCCUGUCAUCUGGUGACACAAUUGUCCCCUACCUGACUUCACCUGGGGCAGAGAGAGCUGGCCUUGCAACAUUCAUUUCUGUUCUUUCAAAGCCUUUAUUGAAAGGUGGCUCACAUACCACACGCUCCACCCACCUGAGUGGGUGCCGCGGGGGCCGCACACCUGCGACUGGCAGGCACUUUCGUUAACCCGGAAACAACCCUGCAUAGCUCAGCUGUGGCCCCCGCUCUCCUCCCCGGCCCCCGGAACCUCCUGGAUGGGGGUUUCUAUCCUGAUGGACCAGGCUUCAUUCUUCAGUCAUCCACCAUGGCCUGUGGCUACUCCCACCCUGCGGCCCUUGCGAGACACUGUUGCUGUGCACAUCUUUGCAUGGACCUGAGUUUCCAUCACGUAGCAGUGGACAUGCCUGCCCCAAGGCUGUUGGCCUCCCUGUGUGCAGGAUUCCUCCCUGCCACCCACUGCCAUCUCCGUGCCUCUGGCCAAUACCCUAGAGGCUGCCCAUAGCCCUUACCACCCUCCCCAAGCACCUCUCCCAGCUCUGGCCCAUGCAGCCACUGAGUGGUUGGUCCCUCUCCUUCCUUCUCCACUGUCUCUCAGUCCCUGUUGGACAAGCAUGGUUGUCUUUCAGUGUGUCCUGACCUCAGGGUUCGCUGCAGUACACGUUUUCCUUGGUCAUCGGGCACAGGGGGCGCCCACACUGAAUGCGUGGCCUUCUUCCUCCCCACCGGGCACGCCACAGCCUCCUGGGAGAGCAGAGAAAGGUGGUCCCUGGGAACCUUGCCUGUGUCCCACCAGCUCGCCAUGGCCAAAGCUGGAGACCAAGAGGCCCCAGCUCACAGGACGCCCCGUGGGGAUGCCCAGGCCACCUGCAGAGCAGCCAGCUCCAUGCACAGGAAAGCAACCUUCUCAGCAUCUGCACCCCCCGCCCCCAGCCUGUCUGAGAUCAGCCCCAGCACCAAUCCCCCCAAAUCACUUCAUUAUUUCUUUGUAAAUAGUGUUUUUCUUAGUCAGAAUAACCAGGUUUUUUGUUGUUGCUGCUACAUCUGGCUUUGAUUGGCCCUGGUCUCCGUGGGUGCUCGAGCCCUGACGUUAUGACCAAUGGGGGAAGGGGGCCCCGGUCCCACCUCCCUCUCCGCACCAGGCCCGCCCCCUCCCUGCACUGGGUAGCACAGCUCACAGGGCAGGUCCCUGGUCCUGCCUUUCCAGGUUUGGGGCCCUCCUGUCGUGUCCACGAGGGUGCUGGCCUCCAGAGGUGCCUCCUGCCACUUCCCUUACUGAGCCACCAUAGAAGAUCCCAAAGCCAUACCCAGCCCUUCUCCACAAUUCGUGGAGUCUGGUAAGAAGGGGUCCUGCCUCCCCGUCACAGGAGAGUGUAUGUCCCCAGCACCUGCAGCCAACACUUCUGCCAGGACCAGGGUCACGGGCAGGGGGUGCCACGGAACCACGUCACCCAGGAAGCUCAGGCUGUUUCCAACAGUGACGCCCCACCUGGGCCCUCUGCUGCUGCCUCCUGGACACUUGCGCACACAGGAGCUGAGGGCCGGAAGCUCACCUCUGCUCCGUCCCCUGGGCUCCCCGGAGAGCUCCCUGCAGCGAGGCCCGGUUUGGGGUGCCUGGUGGGCUAAGUUUGACCCCUUCCAUUUCAAGUGAGGGAGCCACAGCCCUGCUCCCCUGGUGUCCCUCAAGCCCUGCCAGCCUCAAUUCUGACACUGCACCCCUUCCUCCCCUGGUCCAAGAGAAAGCCACUGUGUUCCUGUGUCCCCAUGUCUCUUGUGAGCCUCAGACACCUGGUGUUAAAGCUGGCAGUGGAAGGGAGGGCCAUGUCUGGCCUCACCAGGAGGUGAGGUGUUCUCUGGGUACUGUGCAGGUGCUCAGCACCCCAGAAUCAAGGCUUGAACGUGCCCAUGAGAGGAAUGAAUGACAGAUGAGCCCACACUGCGCUGCUUGCCCGUGAGCGCAUGUCAGCAGCGACUGGGCUUCUGUGCUCAGGUGCCUGGCUCGCCCACCUUCUCUUCCUCCUCUGAUUCCAGGACCCGCAACUGGGCCCACUCAGGGCUGUUCUUGCCCAACAAGUCGCAAAUAUCAUGUGACACCUGGUUGGUCGAGUCCACAGCACUGGGGGUGCACCACUGGGCACCUGGCCUGGUCUAGGCCGGCAGGAGUUUGCCCACUGACCCUGGGAAGCACCAGCCAGAUGGGAAAUCCUGCAGAGACUGAGAUGGAGCACAGAGACCCCGAGGGGCGCAGCCUCCGGGUCCUGGGGAUGCAGAGUGCCCCCUGGGGGUAAAGGGCUGGGGUGGGUUAGACACUAGAGUGGCAGACCCCCAACCUCAGCCCCUCUGGCUUUCCUGCGGAGCCAGGGGCCCGACAGGCCCUGAGUGGAUGCGCAGUCUUGCAGCUGCGGUCCCUCCCCGUGGCGCCUAGGGCAGGGGAGCCUCCGCUAAGCAGAACAAGGUGCUCCCCUUUCCUUUCCUACCUUCACUUUACGAAGUGUUUGGAAUCCCGACAGCCUAAGCAGCUGGACGCGCCUUACCCCAGUUCUCCCUGGGACUUCACCGGCGGCCAGGGCCUUAAAUAAUUCUUAUAAAAACCAUGUCAGCCCCAAACUGUGUGACAUCUGA
rnacentral:lncRNA from 1 species